UACGUAGGGGGCUAGCGUUGUCCGGAAUCAUUGGGCGUAAAGAGCGUGUAGGCGGUCCGGUAAGUCCGCUGUGAAAGUCGGGGGGCUCAACCCUCGAAUGCCGGUGGAUACUGUCGGGCUAGAGUGCGGAAGAGGCGAGUGGAAUUCCUGGUGUAGCGGUGAAAUGCGCAGAUAUCAAGAGGAAUACCUGAGGUGAAGACGGGUUGCUAGGCCGACACUGACGCUGAAGCGCGAAAGCCAGGGGAGCAAACGGG
rnacentral:rRNA from 1 species